rnacentral:rRNA from 2 species
AGAGUUUGAUCCUGGCUCAGGAUGAACGCUGGCGGCGUGCCUAAUACAUGCAAGUCGAGCGAACGGACGAGAAGCUUGCUUCUCUGAUGUUAGCGGCGGACGGGUGAGUAACACGUGGAUAACCUACCUAUAAGACUGGGAUAACUUCGGGAAACCGGAGCUAAUACCGGAUAAUAUUUUGAACCGCAUGGUUCAAAAGUGAAAGACGGUCUUGCUGUCACUUAUAGAUGGAUCCGCGCUGCAUUAGCUAGUUGGUAAGGUAACGGCUUACCAAGGCAACGAUGCAUAGCCGACCUGAGAGGGUGAUCGGCCACACUGGAACUGAGACACGGUCCAGACUCCUACGGGAGGCAGCAGUAGGGAAUCUUCCGCAAUGGGCGAAAGCCUGACGGAGCAACGCCGCGUGAGUGAUGAAGGUCUUCGGAUCGUAAAACUCUGUUAUUAGGGAAGAACAUAUGUGUAAGUAACUGUGCACAUCUUGACGGUACCUAAUCAGAAAGCCACGGCUAACUACGUGCCAGCAGCCGCGGUAAUACGUAGGUGGCAAGCGUUAUCCGGAAUUAUUGGGCGUAAAGCGCGCGUAGGCGGUUUUUUAAGUCUGAUGUGAAAGCCCACGGCUCAACCGUGGAGGGUCAUUGGAAACUGGAAAACUUGAGUGCAGAAGAGGAAAGUGGAAUUCCAUGUGUAGCGGUGAAAUGCGCAGAGAUAUGGAGGAACACCAGUGGCGAAGGCGACUUUCUGGUCUGUAACUGACGCUGAUGUGCGAAAGCGUGGGGAUCAAACAGGAUUAGAUACCCUGGUAGUCCACGCCGUAAACGAUGAGUGCUAAGUGUUAGGGGGUUUCCGCCCCUUAGUGCUGCAGCUAACGCAUUAAGCACUCCGCCUGGGGAGUACGACCGCAAGGUUGAAACUCAAAGGAAUUGACGGGGACCCGCACAAGCGGUGGAGCAUGUGGUUUAAUUCGAAGCAACGCGAAGAACCUUACCAAAUCUUGACAUCCUUUGACAACUCUAGAGAUAGAGCCUUCCCCUUCGGGGGACAAAGUGACAGGUGGUGCAUGGUUGUCGUCAGCUCGUGUCGUGAGAUGUUGGGUUAAGUCCCGCAACGAGCGCAACCCUUAAGCUUAGUUGCCAUCAUUAAGUUGGGCACUCUAAGUUGACUGCCGGUGACAAACCGGAGGAAGGUGGGGAUGACGUCAAAUCAUCAUGCCCCUUAUGAUUUGGGCUACACACGUGCUACAAUGGACAAUACAAAGGGCAGCGAAACCGCGAGGUCAAGCAAAUCCCAUAAAGUUGUUCUCAGUUCGGAUUGUAGUCUGCAACUCGACUACAUGAAGCUGGAAUCGCUAGUAAUCGUAGAUCAGCAUGCUACGGUGAAUACGUUC